GACGAACCGAGCGAACGUUGUUCGGAAUCACUGGGCUUAAAGGGCGCGUAGGCGGGCGGCCGCGUCCGGGGUGAAAUCCCACGGCUCAACCGUGGAACGGCCUCGGAUACGGGCGCCUGGAGGCGGGUAGGGGCAGGCGGAACUGUGGGUGGAGCGGUGAAAUGCGUUGAGAUCCACAGGAACUCCGGUGGCGAAGGCGGCCUGCUGGACCCGAACUGACGCUGAGGCGCGAAAGCCAGGGGAGCGGAACGGGAAUUAGAGUACCCUGGUAAGUC
rnacentral:rRNA from 1 species